AUUUCAUGGUUAGGACAUUGCACAUGCUUUUCAUUAAACCUCUCCUAAACUUCAUAUAGAGACUCUUCAUUGAGUUGAAAAAAAUUAAUAAUUUUAUCCCACAAUU
rfam:Capsicum annuum cultivar Zunla-1 chromosome 6, whole genome shotgun sequence